rnacentral:rRNA from 1 species
AUGCAAGUCGAACGAGGUAAGCUUUCGGGUGAGUACUAGUGGCGCACGGGUGAGUAACGCGUGAGUAAUCUUCCUUAGAGUGGGGGAUAACCAGUCGAAAGACUGGCUAAUACCGCAUAUGACCACAGGAUCUGCGGAUCCAGGGGUAAAAGGUUUUUCGCUCUAAGAUGAGCUCGCGUAAGAUUAGCUAGUUGGUGAGGUAACGGCUCACCAAGGCAACGAUCUUUAACAGGUCUGAGAGGAUGAUCUGUCACACUGGAACUGAGACACGGUCCAGACUCCUACGGGAGGCAGCAGUAGGGAAUAUUGCACAAUGGAGGAAACUCUGAUGCAGCGACGCCGCGUGAGUGAUGAAGGACUUCGGUUCGUAAAGCUCUGUCGUAUGGGAAUAAGAAAGUGAAUGUACCAUGCAAGAAAGGAUCGGCUAACUUCGUGCCAGCAGCCGCGGUAAGACGAGGGAUCCUAGCGUUGUUCGGAAUCAUUGGGCGUAAAGCGGAUGUAGGUGGCUUUGUAAGUCAGGUGUGAAAGCCCAGGGCUCAACCCUGGAAGUGCAUUUGAUACUGCGAAGCUUGAGUGCUGGAGAGGUUACUAGAAUACCUGGUGUAGUGGUGAAAUACGUAGAUAUCAGGUGGAAUACCGGAGGCGAAGGCGGGUAACCAGCCAGACACUGACACUCAGAUCCGAAAGUGUGGGGAUCAAACAGGAUUAGAUACCCUGGUAGUCCACACCGUAAACGAUGGAUACUUGUUGU